rnacentral:lncRNA from 1 species
AAGACGGUGAAGGUGAUAAUCGGAAUAUGAAUAUAAUAUUAUUUUUGAUUGGGAGAUUUUUAGCACCAAUGUACCACUGUUCUUAAUACCACAGUUCACAAUACCAAUGUCCACAAUAUCACUAUUCACAAUACCACCAUGCUCUUUGUACGAAGUUCGAUCACGGGCUGAUCGGUUAGGCCAUCUCAUCCGAGACAUCAACCACAAUCACAAUUUUUGUGCAAAUAUACCAUCGUGAAUUUAGAACGGAGUUCGAUCACGACCCUAUCGACUAGGUCGUAUUAUUUGAAGACAUCAACCACAAUCACAAUCUCGAUCACAACUUCAAUUACAAUUUUAAUUAUAAUUUUCAGUACAAUCACCAGCGUGUGUGACAUUGGCGUUCGAUCAAGAUCCAAUUGGCUAGGUUGUUUCAUACAAGACAUCAAGCACAAUCACAAUAACAAUAUUUCCUUGGAUCUUUUGUCCAUGCACAAGAUUCUUUAUUGAUGGUACGAUGGCCGUAUUUUAUGUUCCACGCUUUCACCUAUUUUAUUUUCAAGGAUCAUCAAAUAUCAACAUAUAGAAUAUUUCGGGAAUUAUAAACUUCAAAUUCAUUUGUAAUGAAAACUUUAACACAAAAGAUUUCACCGCAAAGAAUGGGGCACACCGACCAUCAAUAGAUGCACACAUCAAAAUCAUAAACAAGCAAUACAGUAUUUAUUCCUGAAAUAAUCUUUC